GUUUUCCGAUGCCGUUUAUCGAGGUGCCCCGAGAUUUCUUCAGAUACAUUGGCGCAGCUGGUCGCGGGGCAUCUUAAAAGGCGGUCGGGAGCAGUCUGCGGCUCAAAAGGGAAGAAUCCGCGUCAUUGUCGGUGCCCAGAUGUGCUCUGUGCGUCCCGGCUAUCGCUGUACCCCUGCAUUCUCCGCAGAUCGGUAUUGGUUCGUUGCCCGGAGGGUGGGAGCCACUGCACCACCCCAACCUCCGACGACUCAGCCUAACACACCAUCAUCAGUGUGCUCGGCGCUGUCCCAAUUCCGUAACUGGUGUGACCACCUUGUACAGCCACAACUUCAAUCAAAAGUUUCCUGUAACUGAUCAGUACUGCACAUCAGUUUGGAGGAACUUCAGGCCACUCCUCCUUACAAAACUGCUUCAACUCUGGGAUGAUGGUGGGCUUCCUUUCAUGAAUUGCUUGCUUCAGGUCCUUCCACAACAUUUCUAUUGGAUUAAGAUCAUUGUCUUGUUGCAUUAUCCAACUUCUAUUAAGCUUCAGGUGAUGGACUGCUACCCUGACAUUCUCCUGCAAAAUGUUUUGAUACAAUUUUGAAUUCAUUGCUCCCUCAACAAUUGUAGCAAAGCAGUUCCACACUAUGAUGCUCAUUCCACCAUGCCCCUUUUUCCUCCAAACAUAGCAUUAUGCAUUUCUGCCAAAAAGUUCAUCUUCUCCUGAACAACAAUUUGAUUCAAGCACUACAACAAUUAGCCUGGGUACAGAGGAGAUGUCAGGGAACAUGGUCGAAGAAGCGCUGUAGAACAUCGACGUGAUCUUUUGCAAACUUGAGACAUGCAGCAAUAUUGUUUUUUGGAGAGCAGUGGUUUCCUUGCAUGACAACUAUUCUUGUUCAAUGUUUUUCUUAUAGUGGACACAUGAACAGAGAACUUAACAAGUUCCAGAGAUUUCUGCAGGUCUUUUGCUGUUACUUUUGGGUUCUUUUUCACCUCCUUCAGCAGUGCACGUUCUGCUCUUGCUGUGAUCUUUGCAGAAUGCCCACUCCUAGGCAGAGUAGCAAUAGUACUGAGUUUUCUCCAUUUGGAGACAAUUUCUCUUACUGUGGACCAGUGAACACUCAGGUCUUUAGAAAUGCUUUUGUAGCCUUUUCCAGCUUCAUGCAUCGCUACAAUUCUUCUUCUAAGGUCCUCUAAAAGUUGCUUUGAUCAAGGCAUGGUGCACAUAAACAGAUCUUUCUUGAGAGGAGCAGGCUCCGUCAGUAACCUGACUUUGUAUGUCAUUUUUAUAUAUAGGACAGGGCAUCUCUACAAUCCACACCUCCAAGCUCAUCUCAUUGACUGGAACACCUGACCCCAAAUAGCUUUUGUAGAAGGCAUUAACCCAGAGGCUAACAUACUUUUUCCAACAAAUACAUGUAAUAUUGGA